GAAUAUGAGGGUGAUCUGGCUACAUCUGUCACCCCACUGGUCAUCAAGAUUAAUUCCGGUGAUCUGGCAGUCUAGGUGGGCAGCCCCUGACCUCACACUCCAUGUGCAACCCUCCUGAAUUUGUACACUUGGUUGUAGAGGACAACCUUCCCAGAUAGAGGAAGAAAGUUCUGUGGUUAACAAGAUAGAAAUAGCUGCAUUCCCCUGCUGGAAUGUCCAAAAGGGAAUGUUGAGGUUGAUUGAAGGUACAGAUAAUACUAUUAUGUCCCUAAGAGCAUGAAACUGCCAAACAAACCUCUUGGCAUUUCUGAGGUGAAUAGCCAAAUCUUUCUUC
rnacentral:snRNA from 1 species